GCGGAUAUGGUGAAAUUGGCAGACACGUUAGAUUUAGGUUCUAAUGCAGAAAUGCAUGCAGGUUCAAGUCCUGUUAUCCGCA
rnacentral:tRNA from 1 species